CUAUUAGGGCGUGAUUAUACAAUGGCUCACCAAGGCUACGAUGGGUAGGGGUUCUUAGUGGAAGAUCCCCCACACUGGCACUGAGAUACGGGCCAGACUCCUACGGGAGGCAGCAGUAGGGAAUAUUGGUCAAUGGGCGAAAGCCUGAACCAGCCAUGCCGCGUGCAGGAUGACAGCUCUCUGAGUUGUAAACUGCUUUUGUACAGGAGCAAAACAAUCCCUGCGGGGGUUCUUGAGAGUACUGUAAGAAUAAGCACCGGCUAAUUCCGUGCCAGCAGCCGCGGUAAUACGGAAGGUGCAAGCGUUAUCCGGUUUUAUUGGGUUUAAAGGGUGCGUAGGCGGCUUAUUAAGUCAGUUGUGAAAUCCUAGUGCUUAACGCUAGAACUGCAAUUGAUACUAUUAGGCUUGAGUUAAGAAUAGGUAAGUAGAAUUUAUGGUGUAGUAGUGAAAUGCUUAGAUAUCAUAAGGAAUACCAAUAGCGUAGGCAGCUUACUGGUCUUUAACUGACGCUGAGGCACGAAAGCGUGGGGAGCAAACAGGAUUAGAUACCCUGGUAGUCCACGCCGUAAACGAUGAUCACUCGGUAUACAUAAAUUUAUGUGUGUCUAAGCGAAAGCGUU
rnacentral:rRNA from 1 species